UAUCUGUCCAAAAAAAAAAAGACAUUACUACUACUAUUCUUCUUCCGUCUCUAGACUAGAGAAAAAGAGAGAAAAAAGAGAGGUAUGAAAGGAGGGAAAAACAAGAAUUCCGAUUUGGUAUCGGAUACCGAAACGGCACCGGCACCAGCACCAGCACCACCUUGUGAUGAUGUGAAUGAAAGCGAGGGCGCUGCUGAAGGGGAUGUGGGAAUCCAACAACAAGAAUUGACUGCUAAUGAUCAAAAGCCCAAACUUGCUGAAGGGUUUUAUGAGAUUGAGACCGUAAGAAGAAAGAGGAUUCGAAAGGGCAAAAUUCAGUAUCUGAUCAAAUGGCGAGGAUGGCCGGAGACUGCAAACACAUGGGAACCUGUCGAUAAUCUAAUGACGUGCUAUGAUGUUAUCGACGCAUUCGAAGCGAGCUUGCAAUCAGGGAAGCAGCGUAAGCGUAAGCGCACUCAUGGGGUUAAUGACUCUCAAAUCAAAACAAAACAGCAAGAAGAACAUCAUUCCCCUGCAGAUGCAGUGAAGCUUAGGAUAAUUGAGGAACCUGUGCCUCUGCCUACAUUGGAUCAUGUGGAUAGAAAUGCUAGUGGUUUUAAUAAUUUCGAAGUGGCGAAUGACAACGAUUUAAUGUUGGAUUCCUCUCUAAAAAAAAUUGAAGAGCAAAACAAAUUGAAUUUGAAGCUUACUGAACUAAAGGGACUGAUGGCAACAAUAGAGGCCUCUGUUGAAAACGGUGCAAUAGAGGCCUCUGUCGAAAAGGGUGCAAAAGAGGCUUCGGUGGACAAUGGGGCACUGGCAACCAAAGAGGCCUCUGUGGAAAAUGCAUUGCUGGCAACAAAAGAGGCCUCUGUGGUAAAGGGAUUCAUGACAGCAAAAGAGGCCUCUGUGGAAAAUAGGGUGAUGGCAACAAAAGAGGCCGCUGUGGUAAAGGGAUUCAUGACAGCAAAAGACUCCUCUGUGGAAAAUAGGGCGAUAGCAACAAAAGAGGCCUCUGUGAAAAUGGGAGUCAUGGCAACAAAUGAGGCCUCUGUGAAAAUGGGAGUCAUCAUAACAAAAGAGGCCUCUAUGGAAGAUUGGGUGAUGGCAACAAAAGAGGCCUCUGUGGUAAAGGGAGUCGUGAUAACAAAAGAAGCCUCUGUGGAAAAUGUAGUCAUGACAACAAAAGAGGCCUCUAUGGACGAGGGAGCGAUGGCAGCAAAAGAGGCAUCUGCAGAUAGAUCCAACAAUGCCUUCACAAAUGGAUUUUCAAUGGCUGAUGGAACGGAAUCACUUCAAUCUGGUCGCUGCACAGGAGCUAAAAGGAGGAAGUCUGCUUCUGUUCGGAGGUUUAUACCGCAAGCUACUUCAGGUGUAGUGAAGGAUCUCCAAGAUGCUGUAGCAAAUGCUACUAGUGGCCAUUUGGUUGCAUUAAUGCAGGAAGAAGUUCACGAUCAAGGACUUGUAGGAAAUGUUUUGGGUUGUAAUAAUAAGUGUGAUCGGUUCAAAGAUACAUAUGCCAUAACAGAAAUUAUCAAGGCCGAGAGCUAUUCACCACCUGAUAUAGAAAAUGGCUUGAAGGAUGUAUCUGUGACCUUUCUAGUUAAGAGGUCAGAUGGAACGGAAGAUGUUGUGGAUAACAAGUUUAUGAAGACGAAUAAUCCACUUUUGCUGAUAAGCUAUUACGAGAAGCAUAUUCAACAUCAUCCGUAUCAAUGAGUGAGCUGAGGUGAAGGUGGAACUGGUCUAGCUGGACUUGUCUCUAUGUUUAGUGUUGGAAUUUUGUUGCAACAGGCCAUAGGUAUUAAACCUGUUAGACAUAAUUACUAGGGAGUCUUUGCAAGGUUAUAGAGUAGUAUGAAAGAUGAAAGAUGAAAGAUGAAAGAAAGAAGAUGUACAAGUUCAAGUGAAGUGCGUAGUUUCCAUUUUCGAAAGGAACAAACUUCUUAUAGAUCUUUGUAGUGAGGUACUUCAUGCUCUGGAAGGAAAACUCAAAGGAGUUUCUUUCGUUGAUUGAGUAUGAAUGAUAGUACACGUCCAUAUUUCUUUCCAAACUUGGGGUCGAUCUUCUAUCUUGCUCCUUUCAUUCCGCAGUCUUCAUUUCCUUGGUCUGGCCCUUGAUUAGAGGUCUUCAAUCCUUUCCUUUGCUUGUCUUUGAUAUUCUCUCUUUAUGGGCACUCAAACUUUAAGAUCAUGAUUUUCUUCCCUUGUAGAUGAUCUAAUCUUUGUCCUGAUUUGUGCAUAGCAGAUUAACUCA